GACGAACGCUGGCGGCGUGCUUAACACAUGCAAGUGGAGCGACGAACCAGGGCUUGCCCUGGGGCAGAGCCGCGAACGGGUGAGUAACACGUGGGUAACGUGCCCCGAUGACUGGGACAACCCGGGGAAACCCGGGCUAAUACCGGAUGUGCCCCCUCACAUCAGUGAGGUGUGUAAAGGAAGCUUCGGCCUCCGCAUCGGGAUCGGCCCGCGGCCCAUUAGCUUGUUGGUGAGGUAACGGCUCACCAAGGCUGCGAUGGGUAGCUGGUCUGAGAGGACGAUCAGCCACACUGGGACUGAGACACGGCCCAGACUCCUACGGGAGGCAGCAGUGGGGAAUCUUGCGCAAUGCGCGAAAGCGUGACGCAGCAACGCCGCGUGGGGGAAGACGGCCUUCGGGUUGUAAACCCCUUUCAGUUGGGACGAAGGUCGGGCGGUUAACAGCCGUUCCGGCUGACGGUACCUUCACAAGAAGCCCCGGCUAACUACGCG
rnacentral:rRNA from 1 species